CAUUGCCCGUGAACUCCCAAGAGACACUUCUCCCGCUUAUAUUUUUAAUUGUUGGUUUCCCCUUUGGACUACCUGUGGUUCAUUCAAAUUGAAUCUCCCUUGAGUAUCCCAGGUUUUCGUAGAACAUAAAUAAGCAAUCCAUUUGCUUUAUAAUCAAUAUUCUGAAUUAUAAACCAGAUAUUAAGUAUGAUGCAUAACAAAGUUUUGAUGAUGCUAAUGGAAACUUGAGGAUAAUAUCGUUCGCUCUGGCAUUCUGCAAUGAAUUCGGCAGUGUUUUUGAAGGUUUAUACUAUCCAAGAUGGCCUACUUGAUGGUGCUCUAUUGUGACUUCAGCUAGAUCUAUAAAUCAACUAAAUCUCUAAACUUCUCAACUUUGUUCGAUACUGGAUUUUGUAUUGCACCGUAAAGCUUCGACAAGUAGAAGACAUUCGAUGCCUUGACGCAGAGGUAGAGGACGCAGGCUGAUUGCGUUUAAUUGAGAUAAAGUCGAAGAUUCACCAUCGUAUCCUUCCUACGUUCUGAAAGAAGGGCUCACAAAUUCCUCUUCAAAGCUCCAUCAAUGUAGCCAGUUGAUGCUUUGAACAACUAGAAAUUGGAUAUGAAUGGGAUCUGGACUAAAACCUUCAUAAAAACUUGUAUGACUUUUGCAGGUGAAUGCCGCAGACACCCAGUGGACGCCGCAACAGAAGAUGAUGUCGAUGCAUCAGUAGCAAAGAGGCAAACGCAAGUGAAGAAAAGGUUUAGGGAAUGAACCAAAUCUCCACAUAGAAACCCAAUACAGACACUUUUUCCUAGUUUGUUUAUCGUUUUAAAUUUUAAAGAUUUUCUAUGCAUAGAAACGUGUUGCCGGAAAUUUCUUUCCCCAUGGCGUGUAAACUUGAUUUCUCACAUUCGCCUUUGUAAAGGCCCUUGCCCUUGAAGCUUUUGUGCCGCCUAAACGCCGAAGAUUACGUAGGGUUAGGGUAACUCUGAAUAGAAAGCUGCUGUUUGGAGCCAUCUAUUGUCGGAAAAUAUGUAAAGGAGUCCCUAAGUUAACGAUAAACAACCACUUCGAUCGCGUGAAUCAUAGGUCAAUGCAAAAUUGAGCCCCUUUCCUACCCCAGCCCUGAAUCCUUAGUAAAUGUAUAAUCUGAAACUACUUAGCAACUUGCCCCCUCAGACUCUCCGAUACACUCCUUUUCGAGCGGUGUUCAAAUGCCCAUCUACGUCGAGAGCAUUCCCCAUCAUUGUUACAUUGUUUAUGUUCUCCUUUUAGGUUCGGCCUUGUCAAUUGCCACCCUCAACAAAUUAAGAGAGUAUUUUGAGAUGAAGCUUUAGAAAUUGUCUAUUGAAUUUCUUUUGUUUGAAGUGAGAAUCUUUUGAAUCGUUGGUUUUUAGGAAAGAUAAUUUUUACUCGCUCAUCCAAAAGGUUAAAGUAAACGUCCUUUUGUGGAAUGGUAGCAUGGAUUGAGAUAAAUAUUGCUUAUUUUCUGUGUAUUUUUCCUGUUUUGCGUUUAAAAGAUAUUUGAUAUUCCAGCCGGCCCGGCCCUCACCUCUUAGUGUUUUCACAAAGAGAGGCUUUUGUCUGAAAUUGAAUGGCCAGUGUUUCAGCUAGAAGUUGCAUUAUUGGCGAAACCAUAAACAGUAUCAAAUUUUAGUUUCCACCAUUAGGUGCGGGAGGUUGCGGCCGUCCUUGUGGUAUUUCGUUUUGUCGAAUAGGACCGAUUUAAGCAAAGUUAUUUGACUUUUUCUUGGCUGAGAGCAAGGGGGAUUCAGGUUUACAUAAAGGCGUUCAGAAAAAACAAUAGGCUUGUGAUUCCCCGAGUUUCUGAAGACUUGGGUUUUUAGCGAUUUACACAAAAAGUAUCACAGUUACAAGUUUUUUAGUGCAUUCAUGAGAUGGGCCGUUCGAUGCUCGAUUUUUUGAGCUAUUUCCCGUAAUUUUGGGACCUGUUUAUGCUGAGUUAUUGAGGAUUUAGUGAUUAAAACACGCAAAAAACGGUUUUUUGCAGUUUAAAAAUCGAAAACAGCCGAUAAAAAUUCUGCGAGGCGUUCAAAAUAUCGCUGAUUUUUUGCUCGAUUUUUUGAGCUAUUGCUUGUCUUGUUUGAAGCUUGCGUUACUGAAUUAACUCGAUUUUUCCGAAAAGUGCACUUUUCAAAUUUUCUCAAAUUUGCAUCGCAGCGACCGAUCAAGCUCAAACCGGUAACUGCGGCGGCGGUCAAAACUUUUUCUUUAAAAAUGGUGUUUAAUUGGAAUUUAAAAACAGGAAAAGUCUGUGAACGGGUAAAAGAGCUUCCUGGAUUCGAUUUAAAUGCAUUUAAAGUUGCAUUUCAUGAUUUUUUAAAGUUUCGAUACAUUUGCCCCAAUGUUGCUAGCCGCCCGUCGCCCGAUCGGCUUGUUCGGUCAAGAAACUCUCAAAACUGUCUGAUUUUCACAGUUCUUUGGGAAUUUCCAUUUCUUUUGUUCUAAUCAUUAGAUCCUCAAUAACUCGGCAAAGAAAGGUCCUAAAAUUACGGGAAACGGCUCACAAAAUCGAGCAUCAAACGGUCCAUCUCAUGGAUGCGCUCAAAAACUUGUAACUGUGAUACUUUUUGUUUAAAUCGCUAAAAACCCAAGUCUUUAGAAACUUGGGGAAUCAGAAGCCUAUUGUUUUUUCUGAACGCCUUUAUGUAAACCUGAAUCCCCCUUGCUCUCAGCCAAGAAAAAGUCGAAUAACUUUGCAAAAAUCGAUCCCAUUCGACAAAAGGAAACGUAAAACGGUGUUUAAUUGGAAUUUAAAAACAGGAAAAGUCUGUGAACGGUGAAAAGAGCUUCCUGGAUUCGAUUUAAAUGCAUUUAAAGUUGCAUUUCAUGAUUUUUUAAAGUUUCGAUACAUUUGCCCCAAUGUUGCUAGCCGCCCGUCGCCCGAUCGGAUUGUUCGGUCAAGAAACUCUCAAAACUGUCUGAUUUUCACAGUUCUUUGGGAAUUUCCAUUUCUUUUGUUCUAAUCAUUAGAUCCUCAAUAACUCGGCAAAGACAGGUCCUAAAAUUACGGGAAACGGCUCACAAAAUCGAGCAUCAAACGGUCCAUCUCAUGGAUGCACUCAAAAACUUGUAACUGUGAUACUUUUUGUGUAAAUCGCUAAAAACCCAAGUCUUUAGAAACUCGGGGAAUCACAAGCCUAUUGAUUUUUCUGAACGCCUUUAUGUAAACCUGAAUCCCCCUUGCUCUCAGCCAAGAAAAAGUCGAAUAACUUUGCAAAAAUCGGUCCCAUUCGACAAAAGGAAACGAAAAACGGUGUUUAAUUGGGGCAAAUGUAUCGAAACUUUAAAAAAUCAUGAAAUGCAACUUUAAAUGCAUUUAAAUCGAAUCCAGGAAGCUCUUUUACCCGUUCACAGACUUUUCCUGUUUUUAAAUUCCAAUUAAACACCGUUUUUCAAGAAAAAGUUUUGACCGCCGCCGCAGUUACCGGUUUGAGCUUGAUCGGUCGCUGCGAUGCAAAUUUGAGAAAAUUUGAAAAGUGCACUUUUCGGAAAAAUCGAGUUAAUUCAGUAACGCAAGCUUCAAACAAGACAAGCAAUAGCUCAAAAAAUCGAGCAAAAAAUCAGCGAUAUUUUGAACGCCUCGCAGAAUUUUUAUCGGCUGUUUUCGAUUUUUAAACUGCAAAAAACCGUUUUUUGCGUGUUUUAAUCACUAAAUCCUCAAUAACUCAGCAUAAACAGGUCCCAAAAUUACGGGAAAUAGCUCAAAAAAUCGAGCAUCAAACGGCCCAUCUCAUGGAUGCACUAAGAAACUUGUAACUGUGAUACUUUUUGUGUAAAUCGCUAAAAACCCAAGUCUUUAGAAACUUGGGGAAUCACAAGCCUAUUGUUUUUUCUGAACGCCUUUAUGUAAACCUGAAUCCCCCUUGCUCUCAGCCAAGAAAAAGUCAAAUAACUUUGCUUAAAUCGGUCCUAUUCGACAAAACGAAAUACCACAAGGACGGCCGCAACCUCCCGCACCUAAUGGUGGAAACUAAAAUUUGAUACUGUUUAUGGUUUCGCCAAUAAUGCAACUUCUAGCUGAAACACUGGCCAUUCAAUUUCAGACAAAAGCCUC